rnacentral:tRNA from 1 species
CGGAGUGUGGCUCAGAUGGCUAGAGCGCUACGUUCGGGACGUAGAGGUCGCCGGUUCGAGUCCGGCCACUCCGACCA